AGUGCUGAGUGCGGCGCGGGAAGGCUGCUCAGGGCCCGGAGGGACUUGGCGGCCGCGCUCCACGAAGCAAGUACUGGGCUGGAAAGAUUGCAAAGAGUUUUCAGUUAACCAGCUGCCAUAGACGAGACACCCUGAGCUUGCAGACCAUUAUGUUUCAGUGGCUUCUCCUGAAUCACAAUAUUUCUUUAUAUGACUUAAAAUCAAGCUAUUUUAAAAUAAACUAAUAAAAUAUGGAACCUAUUACUUUUUCACAUAUGGCUUUAAAUUGGUAUAAGACCCACAAGUCAUUUAUAUGGAGACAGAGUACCAUAAGACCACUUUGAAUAUUCAAAAUUAUCUAAAAACCCUGAACUAUCCCUGAACGAUCUUAUGAGCCUAAAAGAUAGAAGAUUGUUUCUGCAAAUAAUAGAAAAAGUUUAUUUUAUCUUGUGAUGAGUUUAUCACUCUUCACUGAAGGACUUUCCA